rnacentral:rRNA from 1 species
CAGCCGCCACGGUAAUACAGAGGGUGCGAGCGUUAAUCGGAUUUACUGGGCGUAAAGCGUGCGUAGGCGGCUUCUUAAGUCGGAUGUGAAAUCCCUGAGCUUAACUUAGGAAUUGCAUUCGAUACUGGGAAGCUAGAGUAUGGGAGAGGAUGGUAGAAUUCCAGGUGUAGCGAUGAAAUGCGUAGAGAUCUGGAGGAAUACCGAUGGCGAAGGCAGCCAUCUGGCCUAAUACUGACGCUGAGGUACGAAAGCAUGGGGAGCAAACAGGAUUAGAUACCCCCGUAGUCCCUGUCUCUUAUAC